AUGGCUCGGGCUACUAAAGGUCCCGUAGUGAAGUCCAUCCCUCCCACUGCUAGGACAGCACACUCAGACUCACUUACUGCCCAGAGCCUUGGAAUUUUACGAAUCAUGAAUCGUCCGGCACAAUGGGUGGUCAUCAUCACACUUCUGAUUUCUUGGUCAAUAGCAGGUGUUAUCAUGUUUGAUUUUGUCAGUGACAAUCAGAUUGCAAGCAUCCAGGAUUUUGGCUCUGAUCCAGUGCUAGCAGUGAGCAAGGCCAUUGAAGGCAUUGAAAAAAGGAUAAACCAUAUGAACGACAUGCUUUAUGAUGCUAUCGAGUAUGCCACUGAAAUAAUAUUUAAUCCGAGGGACGCUAUUAGUUUAGCAGCCGACUCUUCUGUGUCUUAUCUGUCAGGAAUAUUUAGUGCCGAUGGAGAUUCAGGAGUCACUGAAACAGUGAAAUAUGCUGGCACUGUAUUGGAUGAAGCUACAGAAUGGAUCAGAACUCCAGUGAGCUACUUUUUCCACUUGUUUGAAGACAUAUUGGCUAUAGCGAUUACUCCAGUGGACAUGAUCACUGAAGUUGCUGUGCAAAUUUUAAGUGGGAUCAAGACCAUUAUACAAUACAUUUCAGCCAUGUUUGGGGGUAUUGAAGGCAUCACUGAAACAGUGAAACUUGGUGGCACUGUAUUGGAUGAAGUUACUGAAUGGAUUAGAUUCCCAGUGGGCUACUUAUUCCACUUAUUUGAAGACAUCUUGGAUGUAGCAAUCAUUUAUCCAGGGGACAUUGCCACUGAAGCAGUUCUGCAAAUUUUAAGUAGGAUCAAGACCAUUUCUUCAGCCAUAUUUGGGUACAUUGAAGCUUGGUUUCCCAAAUUGAGCACGGAUCCUGAAGGACUGGCUGUAAUUGUUGUAGAGGAGGCCACAGACAUAAAGACCACUGUCUCUAAUUACCUAACCAGUCUGAUAACAGUGGAUGAAGGGGGUAUUCCUGACAUUAGCUUUGAUCCCAUGAAAGUUGUCACAGACACUGUUGAGGAGUUUGCUGACAGGAGAGAUAUGUUCAUGGCCUAUCUCUUCAACAUGGAAGACAAAGGUGACACACCGCAAGUUAUAAGACGAAAAGGAGAAUUUCUGCCACCUAUAGAAAAAGGCCCUGGAGAGAAGAAGAAGAUGUGGCAAUGGCUGAUGUUGCAUGAAAAGGCUCUGGCAUGA
ensembl:lncRNA